AGGUAACGCCAGUGAGGAGUGGGAACGGUGGGAAGGUGACACCGGUGAGAAGUGGGAACCGCAGGAAUGUAACGCCGUUGAGGAGAAGUGGGAACGGAGGGAAGGGCAUGUGCACACCACCCUCGGCCGUCAUCCUGGAGACGCGGGAGCUCGGCUGCCAGGUUGCUGAUACGCUCCAUGUUCAGGAGCUGUCCCACCGGGAAAGGUGUCCGUGGGGGUGAGGAGCCCUCUUCUGAUCCUCCUGCUUUCCUGGGGGGUGAAGCUGCUUUCCCAGAAAACACCAGGCCCCCCUCCCAGCUGCCGGACCCCACAGUGUGGUCUUUGUCCCCAGGGGCAGUGCUUUCUGCCCCUUUUGUUCUCUGCUGAUCCCCAGAGCCUGGCCCUGCACAGGUCGUCGGUGAUGUCUGUGGAUUAGAGACCUGCUCCCCUGUGCCUCCACAGGGGAGGGCCACACAUGCAUACACAUGCACACUCAGACACAUGGUCACACACAUGAUCAUGCUUACAUGUCACACACUAUACACACGCACUCUUGUGUACACAUGGCACACACUUACCCUAACGCAGCCACACAGUUCACACACACCCACCCCCUCCUGCUGACACUCUCACAGUCACACACAUGCACUCACCACACCCUCCCCUAGUGGGCUCUGGGGUUCCACCAACCGUAGCUGGGUGGCCACCCCAUGGUCUUCACCACUGCGUGGCCCAACACACAAAGGUGGCCUGGGGUCUCUCCCGACUCUAGGUCAGUUCUUCCUGGUUCCCUGGGCCAACAUUCUCCUGCGGGCCCAGUCUCAGUCAGCCCUCACACGUGGGGAUUCCAGCCCAGCCCCCUUUCCCAGACUCCACACUUGGAUUCUCAAGCCAUAGGUAAAGUAGCCGUGCCGGCACCGACUGGCCCCAAAGUGGAGCCGAUGCCACAAAGCACUGCCGGGCCAGACACCAGCCAGGCAGAGUGAGGAGAGCACAGGCCCCUGGGACAGCGGUGCAGGUCGGCUUCCAGCCAACUUUGGGGUCCCCAGGACCCCGCCUUUCUGGAGGGGUCACCAAGCCAGAGCUGGGCUCCACCUGGCCAUUUGUGAGAUGUGCAGCUUUGUGAGCUGGUGCUGCCCCUGGGGCAGUUUAAACAGCGGUGGUGGGAGGAUGUGCAAAUGCUUCCAACCAGGGGCUUCAUUUUCGCUUUUCCCUGGAGAGCCUGCUUGCCAGCACCCCGCUACCAGGGACCCUCCGUGCCUCCCCAACUCCACCUAACCCCUUCUCCAGCUCCCCUAGUGGGGGGCGGCACCUUGCUCUUCUGAGCGGAGCCGGGGAGAGCGAGGACCCCGCACAUCACCACGUCCCUCCUGCCCCCGGCUUCUGCUUGCCUGUCCCCAGGAGCUGGGAUGCCAGGUCGAUUUCAACUAAGUUCUCUUUUACGGACAUACACACCAGUGGGAUUUGAUUACUGGCCUCACCUGCGCUGGAAGAAGCUCUAUCUUUAACUUCUGUUCUGCUCAUUCUGCUCAUGUAUAUAUUCUGAGAUGUUUUAAACAACAAUUCACCCAUCUUCCUGGCUUUCACCUGAUGAAAUUACAAAUGUUCAGAAUUCUCACCACCUUCUGGUUAAGCAAGUGUCAUGGAUUGAACUGUGUCCCCCUGAAACUCUUAUGCUGGAGUCCUAGUCCCACGGCCUCAGAAUGUGGCCUUAUUUGGAGACAGGGUCUUCACAGAGGUGAUCUAUUUAACAGGAGGUCCCAGGGUGGGCCCUAAACCCCAUGGCUGGUGUCCAUAUAAGAUGGGCACAUUUGGACACCGAGACACAGACAAGAAGACGACCACAUACGGCCACGCGGGGUGCCCUCCAAGGAACCAACUCCGGCCGCACCUUGUUCUCGGCCUUCCCGCCUCCUUUCCCGCUGUUUAAGCCGCCCAUGAGAGUGCCCCGUGAUGGCAACGCCAGCGGGCGCAUAUACAGCAGGCCUCUGGGGUCCAGCCUGGGAGCCCAGACACAGACACCGUCUCUACCUGGCAAGAUGGGGUGAUGAAAUGAGAAAUGAAUAGAUCUGGUCUCUGCUCCCGAGACCCCGCACAGGGCUCCAAAAGCCCUCGAAUUUCCUGGGUGAUGGCAGCAGAUUCUUCCAUUCAAAUGAGGUGAGGCUUGGUGGCUCCUGGAGGGGGUCCAGUCACCAGAGAGACCAGCCAGGAUUAGCACCUGCAGCUCUCAACCCUGCACCCACCCUCCUCCAGGGAUCAUCCACCAUCAUCCUUCAUGUCUGCGAUGGAGCCUCCAUAAGAAUGCCUGGACUAUGGGUCCCGAGCAGUUCCAGGUUGCUGAACACAUCCACGGGCCAGGAGGGUGGUGCCCCCCACUCCACGGACACAGAAGCUCCUGGGCUGGGGACCCUUUCCGACCCUGCCCUGUGCCCCGGCCCACCUGGCUGCCCAUCUGCGGCCUUUCUCAUCUCCUUUUCCUGCGUUCUGUGAUAAUUUUGUGUUGCACUCUUGAUAUUUAAGGCUAAUGUGUAACUAGAAAACUGAGUUUUAAUAUUUAAUGCCCUUGGAUUUGGGAAAUCUCUUACUACAUUAUGUUUGGAUAUACUUUCUCUGAGGGGAUAAAUAUUUUAUCGAGGCUGU
rnacentral:lncRNA from 10 species